rnacentral:lncRNA from 10 species
CGGGCCCCAGCCUAGAGGGGCGCUCGAGGGGAAGCGAGUGAAGUGAGGGCUCCGCCAGAGCAGCACCCCCUUCCCCGCCGUCCCUCCCGGACUGGCCGGUUCUCGUCAGAGAUUCCUUUGUCUUCGACGCUGGUCCCUCCACACCAAGAUGAAGAAAUUGAGAAACAGAAAGUAUGAUGAUUUGCUUAAGACCAGAUGACAAUUAUCUGCAGAAUGAAGACAAUCCUGACCUCCAUCAGUGGAUCCCUUCGCCACCUCCACAGUCUCCCCAUUGCAUGGACACAGACACAUGACAGAUGCACACAUAUGUGCAAAACACUUAUACAGAACACACUCCUCCACCUCCACCUCACUACCACGCAAUCCCAAGACAGCAUUGCCCUUCUCUGGACCCAGCCACUCGGUCAACACAUAUUUACGAACAUUAUGCUAGGCACUGGCAAUAAAAUAAUGAACACCAGAAGACACAGUUCCUGAGUCUCACAGAGAUGACCCAGGAUCAUUCAGAGUCUAGGAUGAGGCAGGGAUUAGGUGGGGAUGAGGAUGAUAAGAGCAGCGUUGGGGAAGUACAGGAUAAGAUGAGAACACACACCAAGGGCACCUAACUUUUUCUCUGGAGGACCA